AGAUAAGGAGUCCAAGACGGGGUUCGCUGUCUGAGCCGCCCCGUGCGUGAAGGCUAAAAAAAUGAAAGAUAUCUCCUUCCCUUUCCUCGCCGCCGUCAAAGACAGAAAAGGGAGACAGUUCGCCGAGGCUGCUCUAGUCGGUGGCGGCGCCGGUGCCGGAGCUUCGCCGUCUGUCAAGUACGCUGAGGGAAUGGAGUUCCUACUUGAUGUGGUCGACAGAUUCCCCGUGCAGGAGGAGUUUGCUGACAGUCUUGACCACCCAGAUCCAGUCCCACUCGUUUACCUGAUGGAGAACGGGGGUGCGAAUCCGGAGAUUGGUCAGGCAGAUUCUGGGAUGGCUGAGAUGGUGUGCGACGGUGUACUGACUGACGCUCAAGGAGGUGCCCGGCGUCGCCGUGAUGAAUCUCAUACGAGGUCUGCUCAAUCGAUUGACAGAGUUAAUCCAGAGGCCCCCGGCUGGACUAAAAGGCAUCGGCUGGGGAGCGCGCCACCGGGCCGUGUGCCCUGUCCAUCAAGAAUGAGCGCCCUCGAGCUGUCGAUUCGCAAAUAUGCAAAGCACCAUGACAAGAGCGUGGUGCGACCUGAGCUAGGUUUAAGUUUUGAUUCGCUGGGUGAGGCGUAUGAUUUCUACAACUUAUAUUCUUGAGAAAUCGGGUUUGGGAUAAGAUACGGAAAAAGCAGACUCAACGCCCAGAGGACAAAGAGCAUGCAGUUUGUGGUUGCUCGAUUGUUGACCGCCGGCGGGAGCUGCUGCACCGGGGCCUGGAUCUGCGGCUGCGCAUGCGGCUGGAUCUGGGGCUGGAUGGCAGCAUGAACCAUUUGAGCAGCCGCAUUGCCCUGAUGGACUGCAAAUCCAAGCCUGGCUGGGUGCCAUCCGGCUUGGUGCUGUGCAGCGACGAUCUGCUCAUGAGUCAUCCUCCUUCAGUACGCACGCUGGAACUCAAAGAAACCAAACUGCCGUGCCUGAAAAAAAUACAGAAAACUCAAAUGCGUCAGUCA